GUGCUUGCUUCGACAGCACAUAUACUAAAAUUGGAACCAUACAGAGAAGAUUAGCAUGGCCCUUGUGCAAGGACAUGCAAAUUCGUGAAGCGUUCCAUAUUUUU